UUUGGGGAGAAAAAGGAAAAAAAAAUAAAAUCUUUAAAGGAAAAACAAAAUUCCAAAAAGGUUUCCUAUUGCUCCAAACUCCUUAAUGUGGUUUAGAACUAUAACUUAAUGGAUUCUUGUUUUCUCUCCAAAUCCGUCUCUAAUCACUCUCUUCACUGAACUUUCUGUGUCGGCUAUCACAGGUGCUUGUAUGUGUACAAAAAAAGUCAUGUUGCUUGAGAAGCAACAAUUGAAAGAAUGGUUUUUAAUUCCAGACUUUCUGGAUUUGAAUUCUCUUUCCUUGCCUGCUUAGGCGUGUGUUUUUGUGACCUAGUUACUAUUGCUGUGAAACAAACCACCCAAAACUUAAUGGUACAAAACAAUAACCAUUUUAAGGCCACAAAUUCUGUGGGUCCAGAUUCAGGAAAGGGCCAGUGGGGACAGUUCCUCUGUGCUGGGUCUGGACAAUCCUCUUCUUCAGGUGGCCACUCCAGGCUGGUGAUUUCCGGGCAGUUGCAUAUUUUCUUGGUGGCUCAGGAAUCCAACACGUGUGUUGCAGCAAAGCAAGUGGAAGCAGCUUGGCCUUUUAUGACCUGACCCCAGAAUCAUACAGCGUCACUUCCACUGUGGUCAAUAGGUUGAAGCAAGAUUCAAGGAAAGGGAAUGUAAAGUCUUUCAGUGUUUAAAACUGUCACAACUUGAAAAUUACUUACUACUUCUGUGCUCUUUUUUUUUUAAUCUAUAAAAUGGAGGUCUUAGAAGUAUGGGUUAAAUGAGAUAUUAUAUAUAAAGUGACCAAUAUGUAGUAAAUGGUCAAUAAGUAAUAGAUAUUUUUGGUUUUCAAUGACAUUUCAGUCUGGAAUUUGGUUAUCGCUCCUCCCGUCUGCUGGAGAUGUGGGUAGGUCAGCACCUUUUCCAGGAAGUCUUCUCUCACUCUUCGAGCUGCCUUGGGUCCUCCCCAGGUUCCUUGACCUCUACAGUGCUUUAUAAAUGCGUGUUUAUGUGUUUCUCUCCUCUACUAGCCUGAGGCCUCUGGGGCAAAGAUGAUUAUAUAGUAUCUCUAGCAUACAUCAUAGUGUCUGGUACAUAGUAUAUGCUUAACAAAUGCUUGACAAAGGAAUGUGUUUAUUCUUAGAUGACAGGGCCCUAAGACCUUGAGAUAGGAUGAUCAUAUAGCCCGAUUUGCCUGGGACAUUCCCUGUUUACCUCAGCUGUUGUAGCACAAUUGUUAAUAGUGCCACAUUUUAUUCUCAGAAAGUUCUCAGUUUGGAUAAUAAAUUAUACAGUAUCUACUCAAAGAGCCUUCUAGAGUCUCAAUAAUGUUGGUAAAAGAAAGACUGCCCUUCACUCUCUGACACUCUCUCCUAUCAUAGCAGAGAUGCUUAUGAAUAACACUGGAGCCUGGGAAACUCACCUGUCAUCGAGGAGGUGUGGAGGCUGUUAAAGGAAAUAUCCCUCAUGAUGUCCCAGUGAGCCAGCUGUAGCGCUGAAUCACUGGCAGCAUUUCCCAAAAAAUUACACGAGUGAUGGGGCCAUUACCGGUUCCCCUGGGAGAUUAUUCCACAGAAUAAUGGGACUUGCUGCAGGGCAAAGGGACCAAAAGAAGAGUAAAUCAGAAGAGGAAUCGGCCACCUCUGUCUAGUUGGAUGGUCCACUCUGAGAUCCAGAGUUUACAUCCCACAUUUGUCUAUAUCGUAUUGAAUGAUUCGAAUGUUCACUUCAGCUCCAGUUGCAUUUUAGUUGAGGUUGAUCCUGCAAGAUGAUUUUUGGCAAAAUGAAGUAAGUGACUCCAAGCAAAAUUAGAUGUUAUGUAAAUUAAAAGCCAGGUUUUAAAGAACAGAGGCCUUCAAAAGCUGUCAUAUAGUACCCACCUUUUGACAUUUAGGUUACCAGGCCAGAGGUGGCAUAGAUUAUUAGUAAAAGAAAGCUGUGAUUACAAUGGAGACCAUUUGACAAUAAGAAAUAGCAAUAAUGAUGCUUUGAUUGAAGACUUUCCUCCCCAGGGCUCACAUAUGCAAUAAUUUCCUUUCACAAUAUACUGAGAAAGUAGGGAGGAAAGGGUAUUAUUAUAUCCGCUUUAUAGAAGGCGAAACUGAGGCAAAGAGAAAUAAUUUGAGUCUGAGGCAGUGACACAUGGGCAGGGACAGAAGUAGAAAACAGGCUUCUAGUUUCCUGAUCUCAGGGCCCCUGGUUAUAAACAGCUUGCCUUGUGUUAUCUUGCUCAACGAAGCUGUACCGCGAAGCCCCCUAACAUGGCAGGAGUUGGCUCUCCUCAUAAGCUUUCCAAGCAGAGAAGCCACACUAGGCUUGAACUUUCAGGUCCCCCUAAAGGUGAGCGAACAGGUGGAUGAUGGUCACAUAACUUCACUGUUGGUUGGAGAACGUCAAUUUCCUUGACGGUCUGAUUUCACUGUUUCUAACUUCAUUUGAGCAGGAAAGAAAGAAAAUUGGAAUUUCAGUGAGUUCCAUUUUCUUGGCUUAGAAGCCACAAGCCCCAGUUAAGUGCCGCCCUGAAUAAGUGGCUUCUCUGUGUUCAGGGAGAGACCACCCCCUGACCCAGAGAUGAGGUUUCGCAACAUGCAGAUAGAGGUUUUCCGAAGUCCUCAGCUGGAACAGCUAAAUACGACUGAGACAACACCAUCCCAUAGACAAAGGUCAGAACUAUUUUAAUCUCUGAGUGAGGCUAUUACUCUGGGACAAGGCCCUUCUUGUCUGAUUUCCUGCUAUUUUCAGUGAUUCACAAGCCUGAAUCUCUUUCAUCUGGGAGUGCAGAGCCACGGCCCCCUUUCAGAUUUGUUUGUGAGUUAAAAUAGUUCCCAUCCUCAAUCUUCCUGGAGUGUCUUCUUGCAGACAUAGAAUUCCUCAGGCUGUGAGCCUAGAGGAGUCCGUGGGAGGGAGAGUCGGGCUGACUUGGAAUGCAAACCCUGGGAGGAAGCUGGAGUGUAGCAGGAAGUGGGGUUGCUGCUGGCUUGGAUGGUCCCACGAAGACUCUGAGCCAAUAGGUCAGUUAGGAGGCUGACUUCUCCGAGAGAUGACAGUGCUCUGGAAGGCUUGCUCCCCACAGCCAUACAGAGGCUUGCCCUGUACUGUCUGCUGAAGUCUAUGCAUGGUGCCAGAGCUUCGGUCAAAGUCCCGUCGCUCUAGAAUCGAAUGGAGUUAGGAUGAAAGAUGCUCCCUUAGUUUCUUCAUGACACAGCCCUCGAGUUCCUUAAUUACUGGUCCAUUUGGAUUGAUUGCCCUCAUAUUUAUAGGUUAUUUCUCCAAACUGAAUGCUGUAUUAGAAAAGCCUGCUUACCCAGUUUUCACAUAUCCCGUGGUUUUGAAUUUGCUAGUUCUCUCCUUUUUCUUAUAACUUCUUCUACUGUGGAAAUGUCUCAAAUCACUGUUUCUUAAUUGUUUAAUACCUCAAUUUGGUGUGGACAGAGUAGAGUUUGAGAAAUUUAGCCAAAGCUAGCCUUCAGGGAAUCUGCCUAGAGUAAUAAUAAAGAUGAGUUACCAUUUAUUGACUCUAUACUCCUUGCCAGCCACUGUGUAAAUGCUUCUCAUAAAUUGUCUAAUUUAAUCUACGUAAGAGUCCUGUGAGAUCAUUUUACAGACUACAAAACAAGGUUUAGGGAAGUUAGGUAAUUUUCCCUAAGUCACACAAUCAGUUUGUGGAUAAAACUGAUAUUCCAGCUCAGAUCUUUAUGCUGCUAUACACAAUAGAGCAAUUUUGCUGAAACGUUGAAAAUAAAUGUUGGACCGUCCCCAGUGUCAUAAUCUUUGUGGAUAUCCCAAAAUUAAAUACUUUCUAAAUUU